rfam:Mus musculus chromosome 12, GRC primary reference assembly.
GGGUAGCUGUGUGGAUGGUAGACCGGUGACGUACACUUCAUUUAUGCUGUAGGUCACCCGUUUUACUAUCCACCAACACCC